GCAGGGACGAAAGUCGGGCUUAGUGAUCCGGUGGUUCCGCAUGGAAGGGCCAUCGCUCAACGGAUAAAAGCUACCCCGGGGAUAACAGGCUUAUCUCCCCCAAGAGUCCACAUCGACGGGGAGGUUUGGCACCUCGAUGUCGGCUCAUCGCAUCCUGGGGCUGUAGUCGGUCCCAAGGGUUGGGCUGUUCGCCCAUUAAAGCGGUACGCGAGCUGGGUUCAGAACGUCGUGAGACAGUUCGGUCCCUAUCCGUCGCGGGCGCAGGAAAUUUGAGAGGAGCUGUCCUUAGUACGAGAGGACCGGGAUGGACGCACCGCUGGUGUACCAGUUGUUCUGCCAAGGGCAUCGCUGGGUAGCGAUGUGCGGACGGGAUAAGUGCUGAAAGCAUCUAAGCAUGAAGCCCCCCUCAAGAUGAGAUUUCCCAUUCCGCAAGGAAGUAAGAUCCCUGAAAGAUGAUCAGGUUGAUAGGUCUGAGGUGGAAGUGUGGCGACACAUGGAGCUGACAGAUACUAAUCGAUCGAGGACUU
rnacentral:rRNA from 1 species